rnacentral:pre_miRNA from 1 species
UGUCUGCUCCCCCUCUCGAAUCCUUGGAACCUAGGUGUGAGUGCUGUUCUAGUGCAACACACCUAUUCAAGGAUUCAAAGAGGCUGAGCC